GGGUACCUACGGGACGCAGCAGUGAGAAAUAUUGGUCAAUGGCCGGAAGGCUGAACCAGCCAUGCCGCGUGAAGGUCAGUGCCCUAUGGGCGUUAAACUUCUUUUGUGCGGGAGCAAUAAUGGUCACGUGUGGCCAGACGAGAGUACCGUACGAAUAAGCAUCGGCUAACUCCGUGCCAGCAGCCGCGGUAAUACGGGGGAUGCAAGCGUUAUCCGGAUUUAUUGGGUUUAAAGGGUACGUAGGCUGUGAGGCAAGUCAGCGGUGGAAUGCCCCCGCUCAACGGGGUGAAGUGCCAUUGAUACUG
rnacentral:rRNA from 1 species